AGCAGCAAUACAGAUCUUUUCAUUCUCCUCUUCUUUAUGCCAUUCACGCUCAUCUUUUCUUAUUUCCAAAAUCUCUAACCAAGCACCACAAUAACAACAUUCUAACACAAAAUCAAUCAAAAAGACAUAAAAUUUCAAGCAUAACAAAACGAUCAUGGAGAUUACCAAAUCAAGGGUGAAAUGUUCAACGAUCAACCGCAAAUAUCACGAAAGAGAUGGUUACCGAUGUGUGUAUCGUCCGCCGAAAAAUUGCUGCGAGUUGCCGCGUCGUGCAAUUCUUCUUCUUUUUCGGUGAUGGAGAUGGUAGAACCACGACGACGGCGCGUCCGAUCUGGAACCGACGGUGGUUGCUUCAGCCGUAGCGGGUGGAUUCAACGGCAGUGAUGAUGGGCGGCGCUCCGGCGAUUCUGCUGUACGGACAGCCGGACUGUGUGGCGGCACACGGCUGAACGUGGAGCUGUUCGUGAGUGGAUCGGUUCGACUCGACGACGAUGUCCGAGAACGGAGCUAUUUCAGUUCUAAUUUGCAGGUGUCUUGAGAGUCCAGGGGUGAGUCGCGAGUAAAUUCGCCGGGGAGUCGUACUUCAUGCGGCGGUUGGAAGGGCUGUGGCUUCGCGGAGUGCGUAUGGUUUUCCGCGGUGGCUGAGUUGUUAUGUCCUGGUGGUGUCGGCCGAGUCUUGUUAUAGCUGCUGGAAAAAAAAACAAAACUAAUGUUGUAGUUGUUAGUUCAAUGAAAUCUGCAUUUUGUAUGAAGUUUAUGUCAGUAUUCGUUGUUGCAACUAAAUGAGAAAAAUAGUGUUAAUUUGGGAAAGAAUUUGUGAAAAUAUUGUUAUGAA